rnacentral:tRNA from 1 species
GAGGGUAUAGCUCAGUUGGUAGAGUGCAUGUUUAGGUCCUGGGCUCAAUCCCCAGUACCUCCA